rnacentral:rRNA from 1 species
AACGCGUGGAGCAUGUGGCUUAAUUUGACUCAACGCGGGGAAUCUUACUAGGUCCGGACCGAGUUUAUGAAUGUCGUGCCGUGGGGCAUUACACGAUUACUGGAUGAGUGGUGCAUGGCCGUUCUUAGUUCGUGGUGUUAAUUGUCUACUUAAUUGUUUCUAGUUCCCGUAUCUCUCGGUGCGGAACAAAUAACGAACGAGAUCGAGACCCGUGGUUUACGUUGAGUGGUACAACGUAUAAUCUACGGGGAUCGCGUAAUACUCCACGGUACGAUUGAAAGACUCGGCAAUAACAGGUCUGUGAUGCCCUCAGAUGUUCUAGGCUGCACACGUGCUACAUUGUGGUUUCGUUUGUAUCCGUACGGAAUAUCUAUGUAUCUAAGAUCCCCCGCAUCGAGUCAUAACUGAUUCACACAGUUGGACUCACCGAUUGUAAUUAUUCGGUAUCUCAACUAGGAAUGCUUCGUACGGG